UAUUAUYNAGUAUGUAAAUUCAUUUGUCGGGGUAGURGUAGUUAUGRUCUUGAAACUCAAAGAAUUUGGCGGKAUUUUAGUCCUUUCAGAGGAAUCUGUCCUUUAAUUGAUGAUACACGAUUGGUUAUUACUUAACAUGGUUAUCAGUUUAUAUACCGCCGUCAGUAAGAUUAUCUUGUUGAGAGUUAAAAAAUUUCAUUAUAUAUUAUUUUAUGUUAUGUCAGGUCAAGGYGUAGCUAAUGGUURAGUGGAGAUGGAUUACAAUANAUUUAUUUGUGUGGAUAUUUAUUUGAAUUUGAUUAAUUGAAAGUGGAUUUGAUUGUAAAUUGAUUUAAAUUGAUUURUUGAUUGKGGCUCUAAKAUGUGUACAUAUCGCCCGUCGCUCUCGUUUUAAGAUGAG
rnacentral:rRNA from 1 species